GGUUCGAUUAUGGCUCCAUUUGAACGCUGGCGGAUGCGUUUUCAUACAUGCAAGUCGAACGGCACGGACUUGGUCCGGUGGUAUGAGGGCGAACGUGGGGUGAGUAAUGUAUCGAACGUGCCUUAGUAAAGCGGGGGAUACACCAGACGCGAAAAAGCGUAGCUAAUACCGCAUACACCCUUUCUUCGGGGAAAGCGGGGGACCUUCGGGCCUCGCACUAUUAGUCGAUAUCGGAUUAGCUAGUUGGCGGGGUAACGCCUCACUACAUAUGACACGAUCCGUAGCUGGUUUGAGGACGCAAAAAUGACCACAGCCACACUGGGACUGAGACACGUUCAGACUCCCACGGAGGCAGGGUGAACGAAUUUGGGACAAUGGGCCAAAGGGGAAACCCUGAUCCAGCCAUCCUGCGCUGAUGAAGGCCUCGGGGCUGCAAAGCACUCCUUGCGGUAUAGGAGAAGAAACGCGCAUGGAUAACACCCCGUAACUGACGGUACCCUCUCGGGCAAGAAUAAGCACUGAACUUGGGGCUGGCUAACUACGUGCCAGCAGCCGUGGUAAUACGUAGGCGUUAAUCGGAAUUUACGGCGUAAAGCGUGCAUAGCAGGCGGUUCUGAAAGAAAGAUGAGGAAAUCCCAGAGCCAACUCCCUUCGAACCGCAUUUCCUUUCCACACAAUGAGCCGCCAGAGCGUGUCAGAGGGAGGUGGAAUUCCGCGUGUGUGUAGCAGUGGAAAUGCGUAGAUAUGCGGAGGAACACCGAUGGCGAAGGCAGCCUCCUGGGAUAACACUGACGCUCAUGCACGAAAGCGUGGGGAGCAAACAGAUUAGAUACCCUGGUAGUCCACGCCCUAAACGAUGUCAACUAGCUGUUGGGGCCUUCGGGCCUUGGUAGCGCAGCUAACGCGUGAAGUUGACCGCCUGGGGAGUACGGUCGCAAGAUUAAAACUCAAAGGAAUUGACGGGGACCUGCACAAGCGGUGGAUGAUGUGGAUUAAUUCGAUGCAACGCGAAAACCUUACCUACCCUUGACAUGUCUGGAAUCCCGAAGAGAUUUGGGAGUGCUCGCAAGAGAACCGGAACACAGGUGCUGCAUGGCUGUCGUCAGCUCGUGUCGUGAGAUGUUGGGUUAAGUCCCGCAACGAGCGCAACCCUCUUGUCAUUAGUUGCUACGAAAGGGCACUCUAAUGAGACUGCCGGUGACAAACCGAGGAAGGUGGGGAUGACGUCGUCCUCAUGGCCCUUAUGGGUAGGGCUUCACACGUCAUACAAUGGUCGGGACAGAGGGUCGCCAACCCGCGAGGGGGAGCCAAUCCCAGAAAACCCGAUCGUAGUCCGGAUCGCGCAGUUCGCAACCCGACUGCGUGAAGUCGGAAUCGCUAGUAAUCGCGGAUCAGCAUGUCGCGGUGAAUACGUUCCCGGGUCUUGUACACACCGCCCGUCACACCAUGGGAGUGGGUUUUACCAGAAGUAGUUAGCCUAACCGUAAGGAGGGCGAUUACCACGGUAGGAUUCAUGACUGGGGUGAAGUCGUAACAAGGUAA
rnacentral:rRNA from 1 species